GUGCCAGCAGCCGCGGUAAUACGUAGGGUGCGAGCGUUGUCCGGAAUUACUGGGCGUAAAGAGCUCGUAGGUGGUUUGUCGCGUUGUUCGUGAAAUCUCACAGCUUAACUGUGAGCGUGCGGGCGAUACGGGCAGACUAGAGUACUGCAGGGGAGACUGGAAUUCCUGGUGUAGCGGUGGAAUGCGCAGAUAUCAGGAGGAACACCGGUGGCGAAGGCGGGUCUCUGGGCAGUAACUGACGCUGAGGAGCGAAAGCGUGGGGAGCGAACAGGAUUAGAUACCCUGGUAGUCCACGCCGUAAACGGUGGGUACUAGGUGUGGGUUCCUUCCUUGGGAUCCGUGCCGUAGCUAACGCAUUAAGUACCCCGCCUGGGGAGUACGGCCGCAAGGCUAAAACUCAAAGGAAUUGACGGGGGCCCGCACAAGCGGCGGAGCAUGUGGAUUAAUUCGAUGCAACGCGAAGAACCUUACCUGGGUUUGACAUGCACAGGACGCCGGCAGAGAUGUCGGUUCCCUUGUGGCCUGUGUGCAGUGAUGCAUGAGGGCGAUUC
rnacentral:rRNA from 1 species